UAAUGAUCCAUUUUGCAGUGACGAUGACAAUCAAAGUUUAGGGCAAGAAAUAUAGAAGAUAAAGAAAAAUAUAAACAAUUACAACUGUACAGUAGAAAUGAUCGGCAAAACAAGAUAAACAGAAGACAACAAGGCCUAAAUGGUGCAGAGACUUCUUGGUUUUCAUGAUCAUCAACAGAUCAAUACAGAAGAGGAAACUUAAGGUUAAUACUUUUCUACAUUGUGUGCUAAUUGGAUUAAUGUGAAAUGAAAUGUGUGCUUACCUGGAAAAAGAAAAUAGGAAAUUUCUACAAAAUGGCUGUAAACAAAAUGGAGUACAAUCAUAGAUGCACAAGAACACAAUUGUGUAAUUGCAACAACCUACACUGAAGGAUUAGGGAGAAAUGUAGAAAAAAUAGUAUUUUUUUGUUGAAAUAAACACCUGCUUUAUCCAUUCAUGUACAUAGCUCUGUCAUAUCAACUAUAUAGAGGAAGAUGUUUGAAGAACAAAUUGCAAAAACGUAUUCUCUACCAAUUGAAGGAAGAUGUCUGGUGGAUGGAAUUAUUUAUGCACUGAACUGUUUUGUAGGGGAUUGAAUAAUUGUACGCAGCAGAAAAGUUAAAUUAACAUGAAAAGUGGUUAUUUUAUUUAAUCCGCAAAUAUGAGCACAAUAUUAAUAACAUCACAAAUAGUAUGAUAUUCAUAGCGUUUUGCUUAUUAUUGUAUUGUCUCAAACAGCUAGCCUAUUGUUUUUCUAUGUCAUGAUACUCAUCAGUGAACAUUUUAUUAAAGUUUUAAUUAUC